AACGCUGGCGGCGUGCCUAAUACAUGCAAGUCGAACGAACUCUGGUAUUGAUUGGUGCUUGCAUCAUGAUUUACAUUUGAGUGAGUGGCGAACUGGUGAGUAACACGUGGGAAACCUGCCCAGAAGCGGGGGAUAACACCUGGAAACAGAUGCUAAUACCGCAUAACAACUUGGACCGCAUGGUCCGAGCUUGAAAGAUGGCUUCGGCUAUCACUUUUGGAUGGUCCCGCGGCGUAUUAGCUAGAUGGUGGGGUAACGGCUCACCAUGGCAAUGAUACGUAGCCGACCUGAGAGGGUAAUCGGCCACAUUGGGACUGAGACACGGCCCAAACUCCUACGGGAGGCAGCAGUAGGGAAUCUUCCACAAUGGACGAAAGUCUGAUGGAGCAACGCCGCGUGAGUGAAGAAGGGUUUCGGCUCGUAAAACUCUGUUGUUAAAGAAGAACAUAUCUGAGAGUAACUGUUCAGGUAUUGACGGUAUUUAACCAGAAAGCCACGGCUAACUA
rnacentral:rRNA from 2 species